rnacentral:rRNA from 1 species
GGACGAACGCUGGCGGCGUGCUUAACACAUGCAAGUCGAACGAUGAACCUCAGCUUGCUGGGGGGAUUAGUGGCGAACGGGUGAGUAACACGUGAGUAACCUGCCCUCCACUUUGGGAUAACCCCGAGAAAUCGGGGCUAAUACUGGAUAUGACUGCGCAUCGCAUGGUGUGUGGUGGAAAGUUUUUCGGUGGGGGAUGGGCUCGCGGCCUAUCAGUUUGUUGGUGAGGUAGUGGCUCACCAAGGCGAUGACGGGUAGCCGGCCUGAGAGGGCGACCGGCCACACUGGGACUGAGACACGGCCCAGACUCCUACGGGAGGCAGCAGUGGGGAAUAUUGCACAAUGGGCGAAAGCCUGAUGCAGCGACGCCGCGUGGGGGAUGACGGCCUUCGGGUUGUAAACCUCUUUCAGCAGGGAAGAAGCGAAAGUGAGGGUACCUGCAGAAGAAGCGCCGGCUAACUAC